AGUGAACGCUGGCGGUAGGCCUAACACAUGCAAGUCGAACGGCAGCACAGUAAGAGCUUGCUCUUACGGGUGGCGAGUGGCGGACGGGUGAGGAAUACAUCGGAAUCUACUUUUUCGUGGGGGAUAACGUAGGGAAACUUACGCUAAUAUCGCAUACGACCUACGGGUGAAAGCAGGGGAUCUUCGUACCUUGCGCGAUUGAAUGAGCCGAUGUCGGAUUAGCUAGUUGGCGGGGUAAAGGCCCACCAAGGCGACGAUCCGUAGCUGGUCUGAGAGGAUGAUCAGCCACACUGGAACUGAGACACGGUCCAGACGCCUGCGGGAGGCAGCAGUGGGGAAUAUUGGACAAUGGGCGCAAGCCUGAUCCAGCCAUACCGCGUGGGUGAAGAAGGCCUUCGGGUUGUAAAGCCCUUUUGUUGGGAAAGAAAAGCAGCAGGUUAAGACCCCGCUGUUCUGACGGUACCCAAAGAAUAAGCACCGGCUAACUUCGUG
rnacentral:rRNA from 1 species